CACUGACCAAAGAGAGAGACCAGCUACAGACCAGCUACAACACACUGACCAGAGAGAGAGACCAGCUACAAUCUUUAGUUCAGAAAGUGUGUCCUCAAGGAUGGAAGAAGCUUGGUAGCAGUUGUUACUACGUCUCUACUGACUACAAAUCCUGGGAGGAGAGCAGACAGGACUGCAGAAAUAGAGGAGCACACUUGGUGGUCAUCAACAGCCAAGAGAAACAGACAUUAGUCAAUUGGUUAUGUGGACGAAAGAACUAUGCCUGGAUUGGUCUGACUGACUCUGUUUCUGAGGGGACCUGGAAAUGGGUGGACGACACACCACUGACCACAAAGUAUUGGAACAGUGGAGAUCCUAAUGGUGGAAGAGCUGAGAACUGUGUGUAUUUCUACUCCAGGUCAUCAGACACAGGAGAAUGGUGGGACUAUGACUGUUCCUAUAAAUACAGAUGGAUCUGUGAGAAAUAGGAUUCAUCCUCGGUACUCUGAACUGCUAAAUAGGAUUAUGAUAAGUACUAUCAAUCGUAAACUAUUUUCUGCUCAUUCUAUUUACCUUGUCAAGUACAUACAAUAUAUAACAAUGCAAAUGAAUAAUACAUUAUAAUCAAACCAACAAAACAUAUGCAAUAACAAUACAAUGAAUUGAUAACAGAAUAACUGUUCUCUCUGUUGUUGUGGAAAUUCACCACUAAGGACUCAAAUUCAAAGGAAAUGAAUCCAUCUUUAUUAUCUCAGUCAUCGAGGUUCACUGACUCAACACAAGCCUGAUGUUAAUUUUUAUUAUUAUUACUUUUUAGUUUAGUCUACUUGCUAAAUAUUUUUCUUAACUCUUCUUGAACUGCACUGUUGGUUAAGGGCUUGUAAGUAAGCAUUUCACGGUAAAGUCUACACUUCUUGUAUUCGGAGCAUGUGACUAAUAAAGUUUGAUUUGAUUUGAGACCCUUUAAACUGCGACACAAACAAGUCAUAUAAGCACGGUUGGUUCCUGCAUGAGACUGACUGAUACCACACCAGGCUUCUUACCUUGAAACUGAGAUACUCCUUUUGGUUCCCAGAGCAAUGUUCUGGCUGUACUGGGAAAUUGCUUAUUCAGUGAUAGUGUGGAUUCCUCCCAUGUACAGUCAAUCAGUUACACACAUGAACCCAACAAAGUUGGUUAUUAGAGAAGCAGCAUUAUUCUAAACAUACGAGUGGAUAAACACAGAGAAAAUGUCACACUGUAUUAUAUAAUAGUUGAUCAAACAUGGAGUCUAGAAGGACUGUUCUCUACUGUAUAAUAGUUGAUCUAACAUGGAGAUGUCAUAACGUUGGCUGACUCUCUAUCGUUCGUGUCUGUGGACGAUCAUUAAUGGGAACACUUAUGUUAUCAAAUCAAUUCUCUGUGUAAUUACUGCACAAUUAAACUAAUCAUGUAAACAGUAAUUAACUAGGAAGUCGGGGAACCAGGUGAAAAUGUUAUUUAAAGAGUUACAUUUUUGAAAAUUUUAACUCUCUUCAGAUAUUUUCAUAUCUUAUCGAUUACCUUCACAACUUAAUGUAUUAUUACCUCAUCAGUCAUAUUCUGAAUGUCGCAAACCCUUGGAUAUGUGUACGAAGCCUAGCAUAAAUGAUGAAUCAGG